AUGAGACUCUUUUUAUACGGAGAACAAGCUGCUCACGCAACAAGUGAAGGGCUUGAUGCUGCGGGUCAUGCUUUGGGUACUGCUUGGGUUGCAUUUAAGAUUAGGAAGGCUAUCAAUCCUAAGAGUGUUAUUAAACCUACCACCCUGGCCAAAUCUGUUGCUAAAGCUGCAGCUUCCGAUUAUAAGUCUAGUAAGUCCAAAUAA